CGUAAAAAAUGGUUUAAGAGAGAAUAUCAGGUGCCAGCUCCUCAUUCAGACAGCUUUAGUCAGAAGUAGUGUGGCCUGAGCGUAGGUUGUUGUUUCUACCUGACUCAUUGACUUAUUUAAUAACUUUAUCAGGUAUGCAUUUUAUCCAUUGCCGAAGACACAAUACAAAGAUGCCAAGAUUGAGAACCUGAAAGAGGGUUAUGCUGCUGAGAACCUGAAAUAAAGUCGUUCCGCUGUGACAGUGCACAAGGAUGCUCCAGCAGACCUCCCAGUGAGAAAUGAAAGCAUCAAGCCCACUUUAAAAAGGAAAGAAUCUUUCCUGGCUUGAGUCAGAGGCUGAGGUCAGAGGAAGAUGUGACUAUGGAAGAAUGAUCAUAGGAUUGCAAGACUGCUGGUCUUGAAGAUGGAGGAAGGACGUGGGCUAUGCUUAGAAAUUGGAAAAGCUACUGCGGUAAGCCUGUCUCUGCUUCUCAGCUAGUUUUAGAAGUGGCAUUCUUACCAUCCUUGGAACAGUACUCGGUCAGGCCCACUUUGGCCUCUGACAGUACGGAGUUGACGAGUCAGCCUCUUUUUAUGUGAAAACAUCUAUCAUGUCUCCCCAAAGACUUGACUAAACAUUCUUCUGAUAUGAGGUAAUUAUUUCUUAUUUGCUGCAUUUGUUGUGAACACUGAUAAUCUCGUGAAGAUCUAUUAUGUGUCAACUUACUCCUUUCUGAUCUACUUAACUAGUGGAUGCCAUCUUUAGAUGUAUGUGUUGUAGUGG
rnacentral:lncRNA from 13 species